rnacentral:rRNA from 1 species
UCGGGGAACGAUAACGGCGUCGAGCGGCGGACGGGUGAGUAAUGCCUAGGAAAUUGCCCUGAUGUGGGGGAUAACCAUUGGAAACGAUGGCUAAUACCGCAUGAUGCCUACGGGCCAAAGAGGGGGACCUUCGGGCCUCUCGCGUCAGGAUAUGCCUAGGUGGGAUUAGCUAGUUGGUGAGGUAAGGGCUCACCAAGGCGACGAUCCCUAGCUGGUCUGAGAGGAUGAUCAGCCACACUGGAACUGAGACACGGUCCAGACUCCUACGGGAGGCAGCAGUGGGGAAUAUUGCACAAUGGGCGCAAGCCUGAUGCAGCCAUGCCGCGUGUGUGAAGAAGGCCUUCGGGUUGUAAAGCACUUUCAGUCGUGAGGAAGGCGGGUACGUUAAUAGCGUAUUCGUUUGACGUUAGCGACAGAAGAAGCACCGGCUAACUCCGUGCCAGCAGCCGCGGUAAUACGGAGGGUGCGAGCGUUAAUCGGAAUUACUGGGCGUAAAGCGCAUGCAGGUGGUUUGUUAAGUCAGAUGUGAAAGCCCGGGGCUCAACCUCGGAAUAGCAUUUGAAACUGGCAGACUAGAGUACUGUA